GUGCAGCAGCCCUCAUAUACAAUUUUUAUCAUUCAUGGAGCGAAGUGAACGGAUACAUAAUACAGCUGGGAUACUAACAUCCAGAAAAGCCAUAUUAGCACAACAUCCAAGUGAAAUGAAAGUCACCUAAGUUGUUUCUUCUUCCUGUCGUUGUUGUUGUAACUGAUGAUAUGCAAGCUUUGUCUUAAUAUGUCAACCAUCCACCAGUUACUUUGUAUUAUAUCAUCGAUUUUAGUAACAUAUGGCAUAUUCAACUGGGUGCGCAUGUAUGUCUCUUAAAAGAACGAUGCUGACAUCACUUCUUAAACUCAUAAUACAUACCCACAAUACUUUUCACAGCAGGGGAAUUGUUUAAGCAGGGGCAAUCCUUUCCACACUCCGAGUUGC
rnacentral:lncRNA from 1 species